rnacentral:rRNA from 1 species
UCGACCUGAGCUCAGGCAAGAUUACCCGCUGAACUUAAGCAUAUCAAUAAGCGGA